UACAGAGGGUGCGAGCGUUGUCCGGAAUCACUGGGCGUAAAGGGCGCGUAGGCGGCGACCCAAGUCGAUGGUGAAAGCUCGCCGCUCAACGGCGAGUCGGCCACCGAUACUGGGUUGCUUGAGCACUGUAGAGGCUAAUGGAAUUCCGGGUGUAGCGGUGGAAUGCGUAGAGAUCCGGAAGAACACCGGUGGCGAAGGCGGUUAGCUGGGCAGUUGCUGACACUGAGGCGCGACAGCGUGGGGAGCAAACAGG
rnacentral:rRNA from 1 species